rnacentral:rRNA from 1 species
ACUCCUACGGGAGGCAGCAGUGGGGAAUUUUGGACAAUGGGCGAAAGCCUGAUCCAGCAAUGCCGCGUGUGUGAAGAAGGCCUUCGGGUUGUAAAGCACUUUUGUCCGGAAAGAAAUCCUUGGCUCUAAUACAGUCGGGGGAUGACGGUACCGGAAGAAUAAGCACCGGCUAACUACGUGCCAGCAGCCGCGGUAAUACGUAGGGUGCGAGCGUUAAUCGGAAUUACUGGGCGUAAAGCGUGCGCAGGCGGUUUGCUAAGACCGAUGUGAAAUCCCCGGGCUCAACCUGGGAACUGCAUUGGUGACUGGCAGGCUAGAGUAUGGCAGAGGGGGGUAGAAUUCCACGUGUAGCAGUGAAAUGCGUAGAGAUGUGGAGGAAUACCGAUGGCGAAGGCAGCCCCCUGGGCCAAUACUGACGCUCAUGCACGAAAGCGUGGGGAGCAAACAGGAUUAGAAACCCUAGUAGUCCCAUGA